GAUGAACGCUGGCGGCGUGCCUAAUACAUGCAAGUCGAGCGAACAGAUGAGGAGCUUGCUCCUCUGACGUUAGCGGCGGACGGGUGAGUAACACGUGGAUAACCUACCUAUAAGACUGGGAUAACUUCGGGAAACCGGAGCUAAUACCGGAUAAUAUAUUGAACCGCGUGGUUCAAUAGUGACAGACGGUUUUGCUGUCACUUAUAGAUGGAUCCGCGCCGCAUUAGCUAGUUGGUAAGGUAACGGCUUACCAAGGCAACGAUGCGUAGCCGACCUGAGAGGGUGAUCGGCCACACUGGAACUGAGACACGGUCCAGACUCCUACGGGAGGCAGCAGUAGGGAAUCUUCCGCAAUGGGCGAAAGCCUGACGGAGCAACGCCGCGUGAGUGAUGAAGGUCUUCGGAUCGUAAAACUCUGUUAUUAGGGAAGAACAAAUGUGUAAGUAACUAUGCACGUCUUGACGGUACCUAAUCAGAAAGCCACGGCUAACUACGUG
rnacentral:rRNA from 1 species